GACAGAGGGUGCGAACGUUGCUCGGAAUUACUGGGCGUAAAGCGCGUGUAGGCGGGCGAUCAAGUCAGGUGUGAAAUCCCUGGGCUCAACCUAGGAACUGCAUCUGAAACUGGUUGUCUAGAGUACUGGAGAGGGAAGCGGAAUUCCUGGUGUAGAGGUGAAAUUCGUAGAUAUCAGGAGGAACACCGGUGGCGAAGGCGGCUUCCUGGACAGUUACUGACGCUGAGACGCGAAAGCGUGGGGAGCAAACAGG
rnacentral:misc_RNA from 1 species